CGAAGGGUGCAAGCGUUACUCGGAAUUACUGGGCGUAAAGCGUGCGUAGGUGGUUCGUUAAGUCUGAUGUGAAAGCCCUGGGCUCAACCUGGGAAUGGCAUUGGAUACUGGCGACCUAGAGUGCGGUAGAGGGUAGCGGAAUUCCCGGUGUAGCAGUGAAUGCGUAGAUAUCGGGAGGAACAUCCGUGGCGAAGGCGGCUACCUGGACCAGCACUGACACUGAGGCACGAAAGCGUGGGGAGCAAACAGGAUUAGAUACCCUGGUAGUCCACGCCCUAAACGAUGCGAACUGGAUGUUGGGUGCAACUUGGCACUCAGUAUCGAAGCUAACGCGUUAAGUUCGCCGCCUGGGAAGUACGGUCGCAAGACUG
rnacentral:rRNA from 1 species